CAAAAAAAAAAAAAAAAAGGUCAAACCAAGGCAAGUUUGCUGUGAGAAACCAAGGAACCCAGAAAUGAGGAAGCAGAACUGAGACCCAACUUAAGAAGGCUGAGGAUUCAAGUGACACAAGUGAUGAGUAUCAGCUGGCUGGAGGCACCUCUCCAAGGCAAGACGAUCAGUCAAAUUUGGGCCAGAAGAUGGCAGCUGACGCUCUCUUACAUGCCAAUGUGUGGGAUAUAGGGCAGAGCUUGCGGUGGCGCAAGGGAGCAAAGGACUAGUUUUCCAAUGACGAGCUUUUGGGGACAAGCUGGUCGGUAACCUGCAAUGCUGAUGAGGAGGGUGGUGAUGUUAGAAGAUCUUUCUCACCCUACUAACUUGAAAGGCAGUGGAUAAACAAAGGAAGAAAUUAUGACCUGACUCUGAUACCAUGUGAAAAAUGAAGAAGAA
rnacentral:misc_RNA from 1 species